AUGGUGACUCAAAACUGAAAUGUUCUAUGAUAGACUGUCGAAAGCUAUACAACCCAUCUCAAAACCUCUGCAUGGCCACCUCCUCGAAGGUUCGACGGUCAGCCUCCUCAUCCUAAAGAGUUUUGAAUCGACAAUACUCCUGUAAGUAGAAGUAACUGUAUAUUAAUAAAUAGAAUACAAAUCUAUCAUGAAUUUAAAAAUUAAACAUCUUUGACUUAUUAGGAACAUCUCCCAUGCUGCAUCACGAGCCUCUGAUGGCUAACUGGAGAACUCAUUCACC
rnacentral:lncRNA from 1 species